CUGAGAGAAAAAUGUUGAAGUAUUGAGAAUAAAAUAUUUCUUAUAAUCUUUUCUUCAAUAUUUAUUUAUUACAAAGAAAUUUAUUUAUAAAAAAAAAUGUACAUUUUUAUGGCAUAUUCUGCGAAAUAUACUUCUGAAAUAUAUUUCUGUAAAAUAUAUCUUAUUUAAAGAGAUAGCAUCCAGAGUAAAAAUAAAUGAUUUAUUCGCCGAAAAAACUGUUAUUUCGCCCUAUUUCAAUAAACCAUUUAUUAAAGAAAAAUACUUAAAACUUUUUUUAUGGGAAUGUAUAUUUCAUCCUUAAAAGUUUAUGCCUAAAAACAAACUAAAAUAAGAAAAAUGAGAUGUAUUUCAUAGAAAUGUUUGUUAUCACAAACAAAUUUUUUAAUAACAAAUAGUAAAUAUCGAAGAAUACGCCACAAGCAAUGUUUGGUUCUUAAUAUUUCGACCUUUUUUCUUCCAGUGUACAUAAAAUUUUUUUCAUGUAUCCGCAUGACGUGAAAUUCAAUCGUUAAGUUGAAAAUAGAUGCGACACCCGCGAGCGUAGCUUCGCGCCCUUACAUUCGCGCCGCGACGGGAGUUGAUAGAUGCGAUCAAUGAGAAUGAUGCAUGACGGACGACAUGAGAGAGGAUGGGAAGAGCGAAGGAUGACAGGAAAGGAAAGAAAGCGGGAGCUUGCUUCGGGUGUGCGUAAGCGUGUAAAAUUGAGCUAUCCGCAUUCAUAUCAGUCCUGCUUUACGACCGCGACAGUCCUCGCACAUUGCCUCAAUAUUCGGAUAUUAUUCGUAGGCGAACUUCUCGCCGCUAUCCUUCUCCUAAAACGCGCCCGGUACCGUCGUUUGCGGCGAAAGUUGGGAAUAUCCCUCCCCGAUUAUGCUGACAAAGCUUGUCUCUCCCAUAGUUACCGUGUCUCCUCUCGCGUUAUCUUCUUCUUGUUGCUUACACUUGACUUUUCCUAGGCAGAUAAUCUUCCAAUUUUCUUUUCUUUUUACACUAAAAUAAUCGCGUCAUCAUUUCCACGUCGGCUACUUGCCGAGAGUAAGUCUGCCGAUUUUUUUAACGCUUAAUUUUUAAAUUUCUCAUUAACUUCAGAGAACCAUGGAAAAUUCAUCGUCAUCAAAAUUAAAUUAAUAGUUCGACUACAAAACGCUUUUUGAUUCUUUGUAGCCUGAAUUUUUUAAUGCUAUUAAUGCUUUCAGAAACACUUUUUUGUUUAUAAUACACAAUAUUAAUUUUUUGCGUCACUAAUUAAUUUUAUUAACUUUAAAAGAGAAGGAAAAACUAAAAUAAAAUAUAAACUAAAAUAAAUGAAAUUUAUUCGAAUUUUAAAAUUUCGAUAACUCACAUAUGAAAGAUUAACAACUUUGUAUAAUUCUAUGUUAUUAUGGUUAUUUUUUUGUUAGAACUUUCUUGAUAUUUUUUUAUUAUCCCGACAUUUUCCAUGUCGCUUUAAGUUUCUUAUAGUCUUAUUUCGAAUAGAUUUUCUUUCACGGAAUGUUUCUACCACGAUGAAAUCUCACGACUUCCGAUGUCGUUUCAUCACGAUGUCUGCCGCGCGUGUUCUUCUUCUACUUUUUUUCUACACUUGUUGUGUCUUUCUUCGAUAUCUACUGCCCCAUCAAGCGACAUUUUAUCUUCCCAUUCUCCUGUCGUCGCGAAUUCCCGUCAUGUCGCGCGAUAAGGCAGUAAAAAGGGAAAAAAAGAAAGGGAGAAAAGAAGUGCCUAUACACUUCGAUCGAGUGGAAGACCGUGAAAAUUGCGUUUCUUAUGCCUUUAACUAGUAUAUAACAUCGCACGAAGAACGAAAUCACGAUUGCAUCUACCUGAAGAAGUUUCCGUGUACAGAAAUAACAUUGCACUUCGCGAAGUAUUUAUUGAUUCUUGGUAUGACUAUUGGCUUCUACUGGUUUUGACAUGAAUUAUUCAUUAAAACUUGUUAUUAUUAGAUCGAUUAGUAUAGCUUGCACAUGCCGCCAACUAUAAACGUUAACAUUGAAUGCUACAUGAGUAGAUGAAUAAUAAAAGCAAAAAAAUAUCGUGAUAGUGACAGUGAUUGCGAAUAAGCGAUUCUGUAAUUGCUUAUUGAGAACGAUGAAAUGAAAAAUGAAUAUUGCAUCUUAUGUAAGAAAACACAUGUUAAACACUUAACAUAUCUUAUUAACAGAUCUUUUGUGAAUAAUUAUGCAACGGAGUUUUGUAACACAAAUCGUAAUAAAUUUGGUUGCAUGUUUUAAUUUUUCAUUUAACUGGUUUUUCCAAAUGUCUAUAUUUAUUCGCAGAUAUAAAAAGCAAAGAUUUAUAAAAUCGGUUUUUAGAAAAAAUAAUAUCGACAUGAUCGACAUGAGAGUUAUAUUUCGUGAAGUUAACAAUAGGCACGCCCUUAGCUAUUAUCGUACAAACACUUCCUAGCAACGGCUGUUGCACCAUGGCGACGUAAGGGUUAUGCUUGUUCGAAUUUUCGCAGUUCGGCCGUGUGUUACAUAUUACACUCUCUCGAAUUUUUUCCCUCGUCAAUAGUGCAUUUUCUAUCCCUUUCAACUUUUUUCUCUCGACUAUUAUGGUUAUUAAAGCACAUAUUAUUGUCCGUGUGUCACAGAGGCUUUAAUUUUGAUACAAAUUAUUUUACAAGUCAACACCAAUGCGAUGUGUACAAUUACAUAGGUAAUUGGUCUUUCUUCGAAGAACGUGAUAACAUGCUAAUUUUAUUCUUAAAGAUUGGAAGAUUUAUUAUGAUCUCAAGCAUAAAAUGACUGGAUGAAUCGUCAUGAGAUAAUAGAUAAACGAUACACAGGAUUCAGGAAGGCUAUCGAUAGUUCUUCUCAUCUCAAUAACAAUGUCUCUACCCGACAUCCAGGCUGUCCAUCUUCCAUAAAACGCAGCUGCGAUGACCGGAGCCGUUCGUGAACGCACGGAAAGGUUGUACGAGUACUAAUCGAGGGUGUGAAGGCAUCGUGGCGCCACUUGCUGCUUUUGCGAGCCACGGUGUACAAUCGAAUUUCUCAGUCCCCUUUCUCUCUCUUUGGCUACAUAAAUUAUUUAUAUAUAAUGAAAUAUUUUACCAAAAUUGUAUAUAUGUAGAAGAUAAGAACACAAUUCAAAUCUUUCUAAUUGUGAUAACAUUUUAUUUUUAGCAAAAUUAUUUUCUUUAUCGCUAUAUUAUUUAGAAUAUUUUAUUACGUAAUGUUACAUAAUUAUAAGGAUAUAGAGAUGCACGCGUUUCAUACUUUACAUCUCCCGAAACUUCUCCCCACGAUAAGAGGCUUUCCUCCCCAAAUGACGCGAAGAGGGUUCCUUAGAAUAUACCAUCUCUCAUCCGUCAGAUUCGGCAGCGCCUAAUUAAAAAGUGUAUAAUAGAUUCGCGAAUUUCUGCGUGACGCUUUACGCGGGUCAUAUAUACGUCAUAAAGUUUUACGUUUUCUCUCAUACAUAAUUUAUAUUCAGUAAAGAGUAUAUAGCCGUUCUUUAAGAACGAGAGAGAGAGAGAGAGAGAGAGAAAGAGAGACAAAGAAAGAUCAAGAGGGAAAAAAAGAAAAGAAGAGAAAGAAAGAAGAAAGAUCUUUUACAUCGCAUCGCGUGACACGCUUGAGAUAACGCGAAGAUUUCUUUGUUUCCUCCCUUUUUGUCCUUCGUCUUCAUUCUUUUUUUUCUCUCUCUUCUCUCAGCUUUGACGUUUCGCCUGGCGAAAUCACGGAGCCCGCAAUCCCCUUUUCCCGUCCAUCCGCGAACCACCGAUGGCGGCACCGAUGGUCGUUACGCGCCGAGUAAUUUCGCCGGGAAAUCGCAUUAUCAGCGAAACAUUUGGAUACUUGGGUCUCACGGUAACAGUAGUGACGGUGGUGGCCGACUACUCGAUCCAGGCGGAAGGGGGACUCCAAGAUAUAUGCCAGCUAGGGUAAUAAUUCAACUACGCGCUCGUACGAGGGCAACGGGAGAGGGCUAAUUCUCGCCCCGGUGUACCCAAGGCGUGGGAUAAUAGAUCGCGCAGAUUAAGGGAUUCCCGGACUACGGAGUCAGACCCGGGUCCGGGUCCGCUGCUCUCGCGUAUUAGUCUUUAAUAAAGAGCCACGGCAAUAAUUCAUCCUAAGCGUCGCGGUCGCGGAAAGCCCGCGCGCCCGAGGCGAUCGUCGAAGUUAAUAGAUAUCCCAUAUAAUACACUGACCCAAAGUUUCCUGUGGACCCGUGCGAACGUCGACUUCGGCACAAAGGAAUCGUCGGAGGCGUUAAGUCGAACUUAACGAUCGUCGAAUCCUGGCAGUGGAGUAUGUAAUCGGUGUCUUAUUGUCGCUGACAGAAGCGUAAUCUGCACUUGACAUCUCUCAUUAGGGAAACUGAGAUUUACAGGAAAAAGGGUGAGUGGGAUAAUCUUCUCUCUCGUGUAUAAUUUUCUAUUUGUAUUGUUGCGUAAUUAUUUUUAUUGUAUUAUUUAUUGCAAUUAUUUUUUUCUCAAUACAAAUUGUGCUUUUGCCAGUUGCAAAUGUUCUUUUAAUAAUGUAAGUUUUGCCUUUCAGAUAAAAUCGAACCUUAUGGAAAAACUUAAUUUUAACAGAUUGAAUUACAAUCUGAAAGUCAGCAAAAGUUAUAUUUCAAACAGUAUUUAAAUUCUAUUUGAAAGAAUAUUAUGCAUUUUUAUAUUUAUUUAAAUUAAAGCCAUUUAAAUAGAAUAAAAAGAGAUAGAGAACCGUGAAUUAAAUCAAUAUUAAACAAAAUUUACAUUUUACAAAUACGUUGGUUUGCUUCUGGAAAGCAUACUUCUAUUUUUGCUACUCUUCUACAUCGAGAAGAGUGCUCUAUUUUUUUUGUACGCCCGUGUGGAAAUUCAUCUAGGCAUGCCCUAUUUAAUAUUGGCCCAAUACGGGCGUUACUUAAGCAUCCAAAAUAAAGGCUUUUCGGACUGAAACCUAUUCAGAGCCUAUUUAGGAUAUUUGAACUUGGGCUUGCCUGAAUUUGGCCUGGUUUAAAUUUACAACUUUUUCCCCAAGACUCACAGUUAGGUUUGCCCAGUUACAGCCCGUAUAGGACCUAGUUUGAAAUAGAUGUUUGCUCCAAAACAGUUAGCUUUGCCUACACA